GAGUUUGAUCCUGGCUCAGAUUGAACGCUGGCGGGCAGGCCUAACACAUGCAAGUCGAGCGGAAACGAUCCUAGCUUGCUAGGAGGCGUCGAGCGGCGGACGGGUGAGUAAUGCAUAGGAAUCUGCCCGGUAGAGGGGGGUAACUUGAGGAAACUCAAGCUAAUACCGCAUACGCCCUACGGGGGAAAGCAGGGGCUCUUCGGACCUUGCGCUAUCGGAUGAGCUUAUGUCGGAUUAGCUAGUUGGUGAGGUAAUGGCUCACCAAGGCGACGAUCCGUAGCUGGUCUGAGAGGAUGAUCAGCCACAUCGGGACUGAGACACGGCCGGAACUCCUACGGGAGGCAGCAGUGGGGAAUAUUGGACAAUGGGGGCAACCCUGAUCCAGCCAUGCCGCGUGUGUGAAGAAGGCCCUCGGGUUGUAAAGCACUUUCAGCGAGGAUGAAUGCUUGUCGGUUAAUACCCGGCAAGGGAGACAUCACUCGCAGAAGAAGCACCGGGCUAACUCCGUGCCAGCAGCCGCGGUAAUACGGAGGGUGCGAGCGUUAAUCGGGAAUUACUGGGCGUAAAGCGUGCGUAGCGGCUUGAUAAGCCGGUUGUGAAAGCCCCGGGCUCACCUGGGAAC
rnacentral:rRNA from 1 species